AGACAGCAGUAGCCACGGUAAUACGAAGGGUGCAAGCGCUAAUCGGAAUUACUGGGCGUAAAGCGUGCGUAGGCGGUGAGUUAAGUCUGCUGUGAAAUCCCCGGGCUCAACCUGGGAAUGGCAGUGGAUACUGGCUCGCUAGAGUGUGUCAGAGGAUGGUGGAAUUCCCGGUGUAGCGGUGAAAUGCGUUGAGAUCGGGAGGAACAUCAGUGGCGAAGGCGGCCAUCUGGGACAACACUGACGCUGAGGCACGAAAGCGUGGGGAGCAAACAGGAUUAGAUACCCCCGUAGUCCCUGUCUCUUAUAC
rnacentral:rRNA from 1 species